CGAGACGACUGAAUGCUUUGUUGAAUAGAGUUAAUUAAUGAAAGCAACUGCGGGAUUAAGAUGAUUUCAGAGGAAUAAGAACAUCAGCAUGCAAGAUUUUGCUAUGAGCUGUUUGGGAAAUAAUCAGGUCAGAGUCAUCUAUUGAGUUGGUCAGGAUAGCUCCAGCCCUACAAGGCAGAGAACAUAAAGAAAGAUACAACUUGGCUCACCUGGAGGAAGUAGAAGAGCCAGAAAAACUGUCACCAUCACCAUGAUGAGAGAGAUCCUCAACACUGAAGAGGCAGCUGCAAAAGAAUAAAUUUG
rnacentral:lncRNA from 1 species